GGAUGUGAGGGCGAUCUGAGGCAUCUGUCACCCCAUCGAUCGUGAGGGUUGAUCUGGCUGAUCUGGCCGGCGAGGCGGGAGUUCCCUGCCUCCCUCACCGCCCCAUGGGCGUCCCUCCCGAAACUGCUCGCUCAGUCAAAGAGGAUGAGCUUUCCCGAAUAGAGACGGACCGAUCUUUGGUCAAGGGUAUACGAGUAGCUGCGUUCCCCUGCUAGAACCUCCAAACAAGCCCUCAAGGACAGAGAGAAAUGGAGAGAGGAGGGGAGACUGAGAGGAGGAGAGAAAGACAGACACCUGCAGACCUGCCUCACCGCCUGU
rnacentral:snRNA from 1 species